rnacentral:rRNA from 1 species
UAGGGAAUCUUCGGCAAUGGACGAAAGUCUGACCGAGCAACGCCGCGUGAGUGAAGAAGGUUUUCGGAUCGUAAAGCUCUGUUGUAAGAGAAGAACGGGUGUGAGAGUGGAAAGUUCACACUGUGACGGUAUCUUACCAGAAAGGGACGGCUAACUACGUGCCAGCAGCCGCGGUAAUACGUAGGUCCCGAGCGUUGUCCGGAUUUAUUGGGCGUAAAGCGAGCGCAGGCGGUUAGAUAAGUCUGAAGUUAAAGGCUGUGGCUUAACCAUAGUACGCUUUGGAAACUGUUUAACUUGAGUGCAGAAGGGGAGAGUGGAAUUCCAUGUGUAGCGGUGAAAUGCGUAGAUAUAUGGAGGAACACCGGUGGCGAAAGCGGCUCUCUGGUCUGUAACUGACGCUGAGGCUCGAAAGCGUGGGGAGCGAACAGGAUUAGAUACCCUGGUAGUCCACGCCGUAAACGGUGAGUGCUAGGUGUUGGAUCCUUUCCGGGAUUCAGUGCCGCAGCUAACGCAUUAAGCACUCCGCCUGGGGAGUACGACCGCAAGGUUG